rnacentral:rRNA from 1 species
AACGCCGCGUUAGGGAUGACGGCCUUCGGGUUGUAAACCUCUUUCGUACCGACGAAGCGCGAGUGACGGUAGGUACAGAAGAAGCACCGGCCAACUACGUGCCAGCAGCCGCGGUAAUACGUAGGGUGCGAGCGUUGUCCGGAAUUAUUGGGCGUAAAGGGCUCGUAGGCGGUUUGUCGCGUCGGGAGUGAAAACUCGGGGCUUAACUCCGAGCCUGCUUUCGAUACGGGCAGACUAGAGGUAUGCAGGGGAGAACGGAAUUCCUGGUGUAGCGGUGAAAUGCGCAGAUAUCAGGAGGAACACCGGUGGCGAAGGCGGUUCUCUGGGCAUGACCUGACGCUGAGGAGCGAAAGUGUGGGGAGCGAACAGGAUUAGAUACCCUGGUAGUCCACACCGUAAACGUUGGGCGCUAGGUGUGGGACUCAUUCCACGAGUUCCGUGCCGCAGCUAACGCAUUAAGCGCCCCGCCUGGGGAGUACGGCCGCAAGGCUAAAACUCAAAGGAAUUGACGG